rnacentral:rRNA from 1 species
AGGACGAACGCUGGCGGCGUGCCUAACACAUGCAAGUCGAACGAGGUCCAACCGGUGGCAACACUGGUGAAGACCGAGUGGCGAACGGGUGAGUAACACGUGAGCAACCUGCCUCGAAGACUGGGAUAACCCCGGGAAACCGGAGCUAAUACCGGAUACCCCCACCGGGUCGCAUGGCCUGGUGAGGAAAUGGAUUCCGCUUUGAGAGGGGCUCGCGGCCUAUCAGCUUGAUGGUGGGGUAACGGCCUACCAUGGCACCGACGGGUAGCUGGUCUGAGAGGACGAUCAGCCACACUGGGACUGAGACACGGCCCAGACUCCUACGGGAGGCAGCAGUGGGGAAUCUUGCGCAAUGGGCGAAAGCCUGACGCAGCAACGCCGCGUGUGGGACGAAGGCCUUCUGGGUUGUAAACCACUUUCAGCAGGGACGAUUGUGACGGUACCUGCAGAGAGCCCGGCAACUACGCGCCAGCAGCCGCGGU